GGCAACUUAUUGCAUCUUUAUCUCUUCAGUUUCCCUUCUUUAGUUUUGCCUCUUAGGGGCCUUAAUGUUUCCCUUUCAACCGAUGAUCCAUUCAUCACACAAAAGAACCCGGUGGUUGAAGAAUACAGUGCUUCGGAAUACAAUGCUUCGGUGUAGAGGUUGGGCUCCUGUGAUUUAUGUGAGAUUGCACGUAAUUCAGUCUACCAACCAGGUUUCUCACAUAUUUUAAAGGUGCAGUUGUAUAGUUCAGAAGCAAAGUGAAUGAGUGGUUGAAGUUUGGAUGGACUAACCUGGCCAUUCAUAUUGUUGCUCAGAAUCAAACAAAGUGAGCUUUGGGAUAUGUUGUUAAAGAAUCGAGUCUAUCAGCCGACCUCAAAUGCUACUUGCUUGGUCACUCUCCAAAAGCUGCUAUUGUCACUAAAUUGCCUCAGGAAGUACAGUGGAAAUUUCUUGGUAUUCUGUUGGGCAUCUAGCAAGAAUCUAAAUAUUCAUGUCAGUCAAUACCUGUCGGAGGUCUUGCUUACUGCUCCUUCAAGCUUAGCAGAUAUGGCGGCCAAUCCUUUCCAUGCUCUAUUUUAUGUAGUCUUGGCAAACAAUAAUUAUGGUUUACCCUUUACCUCUUUCGUUAUCUCUGCUUUAAUGAUGGUUUAACUUUAAACUAUUCACAUGCCAAGUCUGAUCAUAUAUAUAUUGGUGCUGUUCUAAAUCAAUCAAUCAAAUGCUAUUUCCUUCUCUUUCUGGGAUGGGAGGAGAUGUUUACCAGUAAUUUUAAUAGGCUCAAAAGAUCUGCAUUUUUUGACAGUGCACUUCAUCUAUUACAUGGUGGAAAGGGAGGUGGCAAAGAGCCUCCAGUAAGUGGUGUUCCAUCUCUGUUGUCAGUAUUGAUUGGGAAGUAAUUACAGUUUCCUGAUAUGCCUAAUAUCGUUUCACCCUUCUCGAUAAUGUCCUCAACUGGUGUACAAGGUUCAAGUCCAAACACAGGUAGUUUGAUUGCUGUUGGCGCUGAUGGUAAAUGGGGCAAAAUCAAGGUUCUGCGAUCUUUAAAUCAAAAAAAGAGAAAAAUUCCAAACCUGGCAAAGAAAUACAAGAUAGGGGUAAAAACAAGAAAUUUGCAGUCGCGAGGGUGCUUGCAAAUAGAUCAUUACUUUGGAAGAACAGGUCAAUAAUCGGUGAGCUAUCCGUGUUCUCAAUUCUCAUUACAUCAGAACCUGAGGAAAGUGAAACCGUAAGAUUGCCAAAUAAUUAUCGGAAAGAUGCAAAGGAUGAAACUAAGUAGUAGAAACUUGGCAUCCUGGAGAGAACUCCUGGGAUCAAUGUCUGUCACUUCUCACUUUAUAGAAAUGAUAAAUUAUAAUCUGAACGAGUGAAUGUUGUUGUACUUAAAUGAUCCAGAUUUGAACAUUAUUUAUAUAAUCAUAGUUUUUUGUGUGUGCCUGUCUA